rnacentral:rRNA from 1 species
GUGCAGCAGGCGCGAAAACUUCGCAAUGCGCGAAAGCGCGACGAGGGGAUUCCAAGUGCAUGCACUAAGUGUAUGCUUUUCGUGAGUUUAAAACGCUCACGGAAUAAGGGCUGGGUAAGACUGGUGCCAGCCGCCGCGGUAAUACCAGCGGCCCUAGUGGUGAUCGUUAUUAUUGGGCCUAAAGCGUCCGUAGCCGGUCCGGUAAAUCUCUGGGUAAAUCGUUGGGCUUAACUCAGCGAAUUCUGGGGAGACUGCUGGACUUGGGACCGGGAGAGGUCGGAGGUACUCCAGGGGUAGGGUGAAAUCCUGUAAUCCUUGGGGGACCACCGGUGGCGAAGGCGUCCGACCAGAACGGGUCCGACGGUAAGGGACGAAGCCCUGGGGCGCGAACCGGAUUAGAUACCCGCGUAGU